AUUGAACGCUGGCGGCAUGCUUUACACAUGCAAGUCGAACGGCAGCACGGGUGCUUGCACCUGGUGGCGAGUGGCGAACGGGUGAGUAAUGCACCGGAACGUAUCCAAUAAUGGGGGAUAACGCAGCGAAAGCUGUGCUAAUACCGCAUACGCCCUGAGGGGGAAAGCGGGGGAUCGCAAGACCUCGCGUUAAUGGAGCGGCCGAUGCCGGAUUAGCUAGUUGGUGGGGUAAAGGCUCACCAAGGCGACGAUCCGUAGCUGGUCUGAGAGGACGACCAGCCACACUGGGACUGAGACACGGCCCAGACUCCUACGGGAGGCAGCAGUGGGGAAUUUUGGACAAUGGGCGCAAGCCUGAUCCAGCCAUGCCGCGUGAGUGAAGAAGGCCUUCGGGUUGUAAAGCUCUUUCGCAAGGAAAGAAAACUUAGCCACUAAUACUGGCUGAGGAUGACGGUACCUUGAUAAGAAGCACCGGCUAACUACGUGCCAGCCGCCGCAGUAACAC
rnacentral:rRNA from 1 species